rnacentral:lncRNA from 1 species
CAGGAAGAACUUCAUGCGUUGUUAUCAACAGAUAGUAUACAACGGUUUUAUCACUUGGAGUCCUGGAGCAUACAAUCCCAUGAUGAAGUCAGAUUCCCACAUAUCUGCAUUUGAUUCCAAAGUGGAGUGUUUUAACGAACCGAAAGAGACCAUCCCUGGCCCUGGAGCAUACCAGAAGCUGUGUGCAGUUGCUGAACACACUGAACAUCGCUACAGAGUGACUGAGCUGAGAAAUUCUGUUUUGGGAAAUGUGUAAGAGGUUAGCAAGGAAGAGAAUGCUGCUGUCUUUUUAACUGAAUAAGAAAAUCCCUCCAUGUAGGCAUCUGGAGGUGGAAUAGAAGUUGUUACCUAAGUGUGAGCAUCCAGGGGGCUGUGCACAGUCUUGCUGUGGUCGUCAUCUGCGUGCGAGUGUAAUGCUUAGAGAGGGCACUCACUCAGAAGCAAGUACCCACAUUUCCUAGUGCCCAGGAGAGGCAGGAAGGGGAUGGCAGACUUCCUUACAGCAAGCUACUCUUCUGAGAGGACUGCCAGACUAACAGGAUAUAGAUUAAGUAGGAGGGCAGGACAAUGCUCUUAUUAAUUUAUUUAUUUAUUUAUUUUCCCAGAUAACAAAAAAAGUAUAAGCCCAUUUGAGACAGGGACAAGAACAGCACUUCCUGGGCAAUUUAUUUCAGUGCUUUUGUAUAAUUUUGAUCAUGCCCACUGCUGCUUGCCAGCACAUCUUUAUCCUCUCAUCUCUGUAGGCUUUUCACUGCAAAGACAUGCCUGAGGCACGUAAAUGCAGGAAACAAAGUUAGGUCUUAGUUGCAGUCUUGCGUGUGUACCUAAUUUGUGUUUUUACCUUCCAAUCAGUUGACUUAAUGCCUCCUUCCCUUCCAAUGCCCUGUGCAGAUGAAGGUGAAUCACAUCUUUAAACGUCCACCUUUUCUUACUCAUCACACUGACAGUACAGUUGUCAAGCCUGUGUUUAUGCACCUUAUUCCGGACCUUCUUCUGGUUCUGGGAACCUAAAAGUGGUGGCACUUAGUGUUAAUUGAAUGUGAUAGGAACAUUAACAUCAGGCAAGUUCAUGUCUUUCUAAUGUUGCUUGAGAGGCCAUUACUGUUAUUGAUUAUGAUCAAAUGUCCCACUGCCAAUGCUGAAAAAUUGUUGUAAUUUGCAGCUGCUGAAUAUAUAUGAGGUAAAAAAUGUUGGUGGUUAUUCACUUAGAAAGAUAGUAUGGUGAUUGAAUAAUAAGUGUAUUUUUUUUUCCCUAUACAACAGUACUGAAACAUAAUUUCAAUUAGUGGAAUCAAAGUCAGAAAUUAUGAUUUGUCAUGAUUUUUCAAGUGAAUGAAGUGUAGAUAUAAACAAACAAGAAAUUCUGUAGUAAUGCCACUGGUUGAAGAGGUUUCCAGUUAUAUUUGAGAACCUUAUACAGUUGUGGAAAAAUCUAAUUCGUCUCUAGGAAUUUAUUUAUUUUUUUUUAAAGCAUAUUCCCAUACUGUUGAGGUAUUUUUGGAAGAAAGAAAUUAAAAUUUAAUUCAGACUUGAAAGAGCUGAUGUAAUUUUAAAAUCUGAAAAAGUGCCUCCUUUAGAAAUAUAGGUUAUCCAAGGACAUUUUUUAGAAAGUAAAAUAAAUUUGGAAGUCAUCUAACUCA